CCUACGGGAGGCAGCAGUAAGGAAUAUUGGACAAUGGUCGCAAGACUGAUCCAGCCAUGCCGCGUGCAGGAUGACAGCCCUAUGGGUCGUAAACUGCUUUUGUGCGAGAAAAAACCCCUCUACGUGUAGAGGGCUGAUUGUAUCGUAAGAAUAAGGAUCGGCUAACUCCGUGCCAGCAGCCGCGGUAAUACGGAGGAUCCAAGCGUUAUCCGGAUUCAUUGGGUUUAAAGGGUGCGUAGGCGGAAUGAUAAGUCAGUGGUGAAAGCCUGCAGCUUAACUGCAGAACUGCCAUUGAUACUGUCAUUCUUGAGUACAUUUGAUGUGGGCGGAAUGUGUCAUGUAGCGGUGAAAUGCUUAGAUAUGACACAGAACACCGAUUGCGAAGGCAGCUCACAAACUGUAACUGACGCUGAGGCACGAAAGCGUGGGUAUCAAACAGGAUUAGAUACCCUGGUAGUCCACGCUGUAAACUAUGAUUACUCGAUGUUUGCGAUACACUGUAAGCGUCCAAGCGAAAGCGUUAAGUAAUCCACCUGGGAGUACGNUCGCAGAGUGAAACUUCGAAAGGAAUUGACGGGCUUGAGGACGNGACGACGGACGACGAACGGAGGGGAAGGAAGG
rnacentral:rRNA from 1 species